UCUCCGUUGGUGAACCAGCGGAGGAAUCAUUAUCGAGUUUAUAACUCCCAAACCCUAUGUGAACUUACCACUUGUUGCUUCGGCGCGCGCUUCGGUGCCGCCGAGGACACUGAAACUCUUUGUUUUUAUAAGCAUUUCUGAGUGGCCGAAAGGCAAAAUACAAAUGAAUCAAAACUUUCAACAACGGAUCUCUUGGUUCUG
rnacentral:misc_RNA from 1 species